rnacentral:misc_RNA from 1 species
AGAGAGAGAGAGAGAGAAAGAAAUCACAGACCGCAAGAUUCAGCGGUAUAAAAAAUCACUUGUAGAAUCCGCUGCAUUAGCUCGCCGGAAAAAGAAUUCCGGCGAAAAAUAUAAAUUAUAUACCGACAGAAGAAGGAAAAGAGAGAGAGAGAAUCAGAGGAAUGUGAAAAGACAGGUAUCAAUGGAAUAUUAAGUAAGUGUAAGUGUGUGAGAGAGAGAAAGUGUUUCCCUCUGUGGGAAGUAAACAGUAAUAGCGAGAGGAAAGAAACGAAAAGAAUGGUGAGAAUGAGAGAGAGAGAUGAGCUGUCAGUUUGUUGUGUAGGUGGAAGAGAGAGCUUAAGCUUUCAGGCUUCUGUGGAAAGUGGGAAUAAUAAGAUUGUAAGGAAAUGACGUAUUUAACCCUGGUGGCUGUGUUCGUGCAAGUGAGUAUUCUCCCCGGUCGAUCCCUUACAAAAGCAUACGUAAGGCAAGGCGACCGUUACUCUGAACAUAAUGAUAGAAGACAACAGUGAA